AUGGGGCAUGGGCUUCAGGAGUAUGCAAGCAGAAAUGGAGGGAGGAAAAUGUGUAUUGAUUUUAUAGCGGGGAAAGUGAGACCUAUAGACCCAUUCCAAGCAGCAAAGCUUUCAUCUGAGUGUGGUAUUCACAUCAGGAGCAGAAUGCAUGUUGCUACGCACUGGAAUGACUAUGACAAAAGCCCACUCAAACAUGUUAUUCCCCAUGCUAUUAAAGAUAUCGCACUUAACUUUGAGAUGGAUAAGGAUGACAAGGUUGGGAAUGAUGUAUGCACAAAAGUAAUCCAGAAAGGUGUUCGACAACAACGCUACAGGUUAAAGAAGAAAUACUUCAAUGGUUAUACUUCUCAAGAAGCAUUAUCAAAAAAGCCAGCGAAUAUUACUCAUGAGAAUUGGACCAGCCUUGUCAAUAAAUGGUCUGAUCAAAGAAACAAGGAAAUAUGUCAAAUGAAUAAGGAAAACCGAGAAGCUGUGAAGCAUCACCAAAAGACUGGAUCUAUGUCUUAUGUUGCCUAUUUCAACAAACUUAAAAAAGACAAGUACAAUAAUCAGGAGCCAAGUCCCAUUGAAUUUUUCAAAGACACCCAUACAAAUAGCAAGACCGGUAGCAUGAGCGAGCCAGCACUUCUAGCUCAUAAUGUGAUGGAAAAGAAAAGGAAAACACAAUCAGAAGGUCAGCAGCCAUUAUCUGAUACAGCGAUUGUGGCUGAAGUUCUAAAGGAAGAAAGUGCCCAUAGCACCUUCCUUUCCAGCAUGGGGUAUGCAUCAAGAUCCGGAUCUGGGAGCUCUACUUCAUCAGCCUAGAUCAAAGUUUUAGAAGAAAGAAUUGAACAGAAGGAUAGAGAGGCAAGAGAUGCAGAUGUCAGGCAUCGAGAGGAGUUAGCCGCAAGACUUGAAGCACAAGAGAGAGCAUUUGAAGAGAUAUAAAAGAAGCAGCAAGAAGAAUUGGAAGCUCUAAAGAAGAUCCAACAAGUGAAGAAUGAAGCCUGGACAAAGAAGCAAAUGGAGACGAAUAAUCCGCUUGAUUUUCUCUUGAGGGCUCAAGCAACUCAGCAAGCAACUCAGCAGUCCCAGUCCAAACCAGAUGGUUCAUGA
rnacentral:rRNA from 1 species